CGCCGUCGGUCCACCCUCCACUCAGCGAGUACAUGACCUCCAAGUAACCCGUCCCAGUGAGGCCUUGUGUCCGUACUCUCCGGAAUUCGUUGCCACAGGCGGCCGUGGAGGUCGAGUCAUUGAUGAUUCAUCAGCCAAUUUUAAAAAGUAAAGCUAAAGAUGUACCAUACCAAAUUGAGCACACAAUCCAAUCUGAGACAUCAGUAUAAUGCCGGUAAAGGUCUGCAGCAUCAGGAUGGCAACUUCCAGGUUCUGACAGGUCAGUCCAUUGCCUCUUCUUAUGCCAACAUGAGGCUACCAUUAGGGUGGAGGAGCAACAC